UACGGAGGGUGCGAGCGUUGUCCGGAAUCACUGGGCGUAAAGGGCGCGUAGGUGGCGCGGCAAGUCAACGGUGAAAGCUCGACGCUCAACGUCGAGUCGGCCGUCGAUACUGCUGGGCUUGAGCACUGUAGAGGCAGAUGGAAUUCCGGGUGUAGCGGUGGAAUGCGUAGAGAUCCGGAAGAACACCGGUGGCGAAGGCGGUCUGCUGGGCAGUAGCUGACACUGAGAGACGAAAGCUAGGGGAGCGAAUGGG
rnacentral:rRNA from 1 species